CGGGGACGGCGGGAGGCCGCCGGCGGGCGGCCGUUCGGGGCACGGAGCGGGUUCCCCGUCGCCACACGUGCUCCGGACCGCCCCGCCGCCCCUCGGCGGCUCGCCCAGCCCUUCGGCGGCGGGCCCGGCCUCUUCCAGCCGCUCCACGCCCGGGCCCGGCGGUACCACGGGCAGCGUGAUCACGAGCUGCCGCUCGGCCUUGUUGAAGGCGGCCCGCCCGCCGCUUUCGUCCACGUCGUACGGGAGGCGGAGGCGCAGGCGGUAGGCGGGACGCUGCGAGUCGAGGCGCAGCUCCCGGCCGCGGAUCUCCAGCUCGGCCUGGGCGGCGGAGCGCAGCAACGGGAGCUCCACCGUUACCACCAGCUCCCGCGGCACCGGGCUGGGCGCCGAGUCGCGGCAGUACCGGUAGUCUUAGCCGACGCUGCUCCGGGUCGGCCAGUUCCGCCGCGUACUCGGCGAACAGCGCACGGAACUGCUCGUCGCGGAAGGCCCGUUUGAGCCGCUCGGCCUCCUCGGCGCUGAGCUCCAGCUCCUCCAACCGCCCCGGGCCCGCCAUGGCUGCGACCCGGCCCGGCCGCUCUCGUUGCUGUGGAGACGCCAAACAAGAUGGCGCCUCCGGCCCGGCCGCGCUUGUUGCUGUGGUGAUGGUAAACAAAAUGGCGCCGCUGGGCCUCACCGGCCAGUUGCUAUGGAGACGCCAAACAAGAUGCCGGGCCGUCCCGCGGUGGUCUCCGAUUCCUCUCGACUUCUGAGGCCGCCGCCGCGGCCUCGCUGAGCCUUUCCGCUCCUUUCUCUUCAGUGGCUUCGUGCUGGCUCUCAGCCCUCGCCCCUGUGAGCCACAGGGGUGGUUCACUCUCCACCCUCCUGCAUCCCUGAGCAGGCACUGCCUUCCCCCCGCAGCACAAUCAGAACUGCUGGCACAGUCUCUCCUGCGGUUGGGGUUUAGACCCUCAGCAGUUCAGCUCCCACCCACACCCCAUUGGUCCCCCCAGAGUCCAUUGCCCGCUGCCCUCCCCCUGCUCCUGCCCCUGGAGCCAUACCCAUGUGGAUGCCAGUGCAGCAGGAAGGGGUCUGUGACACAAAACAGCCGGUGUCGUGGGUCCCCUCACUGUCCUGCACCUGAUUUGGGCAUGUGGAGUAGCACCAGUCUGCUGACCUGGUCUCAGCAUCUGUGAGUGGCUGGAACAGGUUUUUGCUUAGUUUCAUCGAAAAGGGACCGGCAAGGUACUUUCGGCCCUUUCACGUGCCAACAGGCUGCUCUCUGCUGCUGGCCAACCGAGCUGCCGAUGCAGAAGCUGGCACUGCCAGGCCCUGACUCUUUCCCACCUUCCUGGUUGCUCCUUCAGCAAGAUUUCCUCCUCCCUGCCUUCUGCAGAAGUUUCAAAGGAUCACACCCUUGUUCCUUUUGCCUCUUCUCACUCUGCCUGUGUGACAUGAGCCACAAACAUUAUAUAUCGCCAUUAGUAAAUAACACCUCAUAAUCUCUAGACCUUUCCUGUCCAAACAAAAAUCCCUAGCCCACAUUUCCAGCAUCUCCUGUAGAUAACUAGCUAGCGGUUCACCUCAGCAUGGUCAAAGUUCUCCCUCUCUUGAACUUCUUUAAAAGAUAGGUAUUUCCUGUUUGAUACACAUGCAUUUGGUUCUUCCAGUUGCCUUCUUUUAUUUAUGCUUUGCCAAUUAAUCUUCACAGUGGCCCUACAUUUUAUCUAAACUAAACCCAGUAUCUUUUCCUGUAAAAGUUUAUUCAUGUAUAAAAUACACCAUUUUUGGCUUU